CCGAGAGCGAGCCAGAACGGCGGCGCAAAGAACUCUUCCGGGGCUCCCCGAGGAAACUGCGGACCUCCGACCUUGGCGCAACUGAGAGACAGAGUGGCAUGCUAGCUGGAGAGCUGCCUUAGAACCAAGACCUGGGUUCAAGACCCACCUCUGCUGCCUGUGCUGAUGCUGAAUUUGCAUCAUCUUCUGAUGAUGUACCACUGACCAGAGAUUUGGAACCCUGCCUAGUGUGGAUGGCAUGAUGACACCUGACCACAAGAGUGAUGCAUGGAAGCAAGCACCAGACCCAGGAGACGGAUGAAGGAGUUAGAGGAAACCCAC